rnacentral:lncRNA from 1 species
CGCCGGCUCCAUCCACUCAGGUCCCCCCGGCCCGCCCAGGGGCCGAGGGAGGAGGGGAGCGGGAAGGGGGAGCUCCCUGCCCGCCCCGCCGGCGGCUCUCACCUGAGCGGCGGGCGGCUCCUGUCAGCGCGGGGGUGGUGUGGCCUCCCCACGUUCUUCAGAGUGAAGCUGCUGCCUCCCUCCUCUUCCUCCCCUUCCGUAACUCUCCAUGCAGGUGGACGGGAGGGAAAGGGCUGUCGCACACCGCUGCUGUUGGCUGAAGCGGGGCUGUUCCUGAGGGAACGCGGAGUCCCCGCGCGGUUUCGCCCCUCGUUUUUCUCCCCCUCAGCCUGCAUUGUAACAGAAAGUACAAAGCUUGAAGAUACCUGCUGGUCCUGAACCACUCUUCAGAAGGCACCACAUGAGUCAAGGCUGAAACUGACUGCAGUAUCACUCCCAGCACUGCAGUGGACAAUGAUCCCCAUGAUGAAGCAAGGUAAACGAAGCUCUACUGCUGUAAACAGCAUUAACUGCUCUCCUCUCAGAAACAUUCAGGAUCAUCCAAUGAAAUCUAUUUGACAAGCAACUGUUAAGACUAACACCUGAGCAUGGGUUUUGUAGGAAGAAAAUACAAUUUGUGAUGUGAAAUUCUCACCUGCGGAUUUCAACAGUUACUUGGAAGUAGAUGGAAGUAGCUUAACGAUGUGAGUAGCUGUGUUGCCCUCUAGUGACAGGUUAAGAAAAUCCUGUCACAAGCAACAGGUACGAAAAAUUCUUCAUGCCCUGUAGGACACAUUACAGAAAUACAUUUAAGAUGGAUCUCAGCAGUAAAAAAUUCUGGAAGCUUUGUGGUUUUCGAGAGCCAGUCACAAAACAAAUCCUGGCUUUUGAAAUCUUGUUCAGUAUAUUGUCAUCUGUCAUACAGGAUUUCUUCACUUUCCAAAGAUAGUUAAGAAAAAUUAGUGUCUCACAUUAUAAUGGAAGCUUCAAAAUAUUUUUGGUGAGAAAUAAAAGAAGCCACUAACAAGAAUUUUCUUAAGAG